rnacentral:rRNA from 1 species
AAUAGAUACCCAGGUAGUCCACGCCGUAAACGAUGAGUGCUAAGUGUUAGAGGGUUUCCGCCCUUUAGUGCUGCAGCUAACGCAUUAAGCACUCCACCUGGGGAGUACGGUCGCAAGACUGAAACUCAAAGGAAUUGACGGGGGCCCGCACAAGCGGUGGAGCAUGUGGUUUAAUUCGAAGCAACGCGAAGAACCUUACCAGGUCUUGACAUCCUCUGACAACUCUAGAGAUAGAGCGUUCCCCUUCGGGGGACAGAGUGACAGGUGGUGCAUGGUUGUCGUCAGCUCGUGUCGUGAGAUGUUGGGUUAAGUCCCGCAACGAGCGCAACCCUUGAUCUUAGUUGCCAGCAUUUAGUUGGGCACUCUAAGGUGACUGCCGGUGACAAACCGGAGGAAGGUGGGGAUGACGUCAAAUCAUCAUGCCCCUUAUGACCUGGGCUACACACGUGCUACAAUGGAUGGUACAAAGGGCUGCAAGACCGCGAGGUCAAGCCAAUCCCAUAAAACCAUUCUCAGUUCGGAUUGU